GGUAAAGCAGUCGUCUAAUGUGCGAGAGACCCGGGUUCGAUUCCUGGCC
rnacentral:tRNA from 1 species